AAUGUUAAAGUUCUUAUUUCAUGGUAUAACUUUGGUAUGCUUGGACCUAGAGUCUUCAAACUUGACAUGAAGGUUGGCCAGGAUUAACAGAUGACCACUGGUCAUUUCAAGGUCAUUCAUUUGAAGGUCAAGGUCACUGUGACCUUCAAUAUAAAAAAUGUUAAAGUUGUUAUAACUUUGGUAUGCUUGGACCUAGAGUCUUGAAACUUGACAUGAAGGUUGGCCAUAACUAGUUAGUAACCACUGGUCAUUUCAAGGUCAUUCAUUUGAAGGUCAAGGUCACUGUGACCUUGAAUGUAAAAAUGUUAAAGUUCUUAUUUCAUGGUAUAACUUUGGUAUGCUUGGACCUAGAGUCUUCAAACUUGACAUGAAGGUUGGCCAGGAUUAACAGAUGACCACUGGUCAUUUCAAGGUCAUUCAUUUGAAGGUCAAGGUCACUGUGACCUUCAAUAUAAAAAAUGUUAAAGUUGUUAUAACUUUGGUAUGCUUGGACCUAGAGUCUUGAAACUUGACAUGAAAGUUGGCCAUAACUAGUAAGUAACCACUGGUCAUUUCAAGGUCAUUCAUUUGAAGGUCAAGGUCACUGUGACCUUAAAUGUAAAAAUGUUAAAGUUCUUAUUUCAUGGUAUAACUUUGGUAUGCUUGGACCUAGAGUCUUCAAACUUGACAUGAAGGUUGGCCAGGAUUAACAGAUGACCACUGGUCAUUUCAAGGUCAUUCAUUUGAAGGUGAAGGUCACUGUGACCUUCAAUAUAAAAAUGUUAAAGUUGUUAUAACUUUGGUAUGCUUGGACCUAGAGUCUUGAAACUUGACAUGAAGGUUGACCAGAACUAGUAAGUAACCACUGGACAUUUCAAGGUCAUUCAUUUGAAGGUCAAGGUCACUGUGACCUUGAAUGUACAAAUGUUAAAGUUCUUAUUUCAUGUUAUAACUUUGGUAUGCUUGUACCUAGAGUCUUCAAACUUGAAAUGAAGAUUGGCCAGUACUAGAAGAUGACCACUGGUCAUUUCAAUGUCAUUCAUUUAAAGGUCAAGGUCACUGUGACCUUAAAUGUUAAAAUGUUAAAUUUGUUAUAACUUUGGUAUGCUUGGACAUAGAGUCUUCAAACUUGACAUGAAGGUUUGCAAGCACACUUAGAUGACCACUGGUCAUUUCAAGGUCAUUCAUUCUAAGGUCAAGGUCACUGUGACCUUGAAUGUAAAAAUGUUAAAGUUCUUAUAACUUUGGUAGGUAAAAAUGUUAAAGUUCUUAUUCCAUGUUAUAACUUUGGUAUGCUUGUACCUAGAGUCUUCAAACUUGACAUAAAGGUUGGCCAGUACUAGAAGAUCACCACUGCUCAUUUCAAUGUCAUUCAUUUGAAGGUCAAGGUCACUGUGACCUUCAAUGUUAAAAUGUUAAAAUUGUUAUAACUUUGGUAUGCUUGGACCUAGAAUCUCAAACUUGACGUAAAGGUUUGCAAGCACACUUAGAUGACCACUGGUCAUUUCAAGGUCAUUCAUUUCAAUGUCAUUCAUUUGAAGGUCAAGGUCACUGUGAACUUAAAUGUUAAAAUGUUAAAAUUGUUGUAACUUUGGUAUGCUUGGACCUAGAAUCUCAAACUUGACGUAAAGGUUUGCAAGCACACUUAGAUGACCACUGGUCAUUUCAAGGUCAUUCAUUUGAAGGUCGAGGUCACUGUGACCUUGGAUGUAAAUAUGUUAAAGUUGUUAGAACUGGUGUGAUAGAAACCUUUUGGAGUGAUCAUAAGGCUGUCUGGAUUUCUGUGUAGGUAUGUGAAAGCAAAACAAUAAAUAGUAUUAUUUCAUCUAAGUUUAUUUUCUUACAUUUGAUAAUGAAAUUGAUGGAAACUUCAAACAAUAUGUUACUAAUUUGCUAAUAAAAAAAUUGAGAUCAAACUUUCCUAAUUGUCAAUUCAAGUUCAUAUUUGUGACCUUAAA